GUGGACGCAUCACUGGUGUUCGGGUUGUCAUGCCAAUGGCAUUGCCCGGUAGCUAAAUGCGGAAAAGAUAAGCGCUGAAAGCAUCUAAGCGCGAAACUUGCCUCAAGAUGAGUCUUCCCUGGGGCUUUAAGCCCCCUGAAGGAACGUUAAAGACUAUGACGUUGAUAGGCUGGGUGUGUAAGUGCAGCGAUGCAUUGAGCUAACCAGUACUAAUGAUCCGUGAGGCUUAACCUUACAACACCGAAGGUGUUUUAG
rnacentral:rRNA from 1 species